rnacentral:rRNA from 1 species
GUCUACGGCCAUAGUCUACGAAUAAGCCCGAUCCCAUGUGAUCGUGGAAGCUAAGCAGGGUCAGGCCUGGUUAGUACAUGGAUGGGAGACCACCUAGGAAUACCAGGUGCUGUAGGCG